AAUCAACGCUGGCGGCGUGCCCCAGACAUGCAAGUCGAACGCGAAAGUUACCCUUCGGGGGAGUGAGUAGAGUGGCGCACGGGUGAGUAACACGUAGGUAAUCUACCUUUGGAUGGGGAAGUAACAACCGGAAACGGUUGCUAAUACCGCAUAAUGCAGCGGCACCUAAUGGUGACAGUUGUUAAAGCGGGGGAGUCGAAAGACCUCGCGUCUGAAGAGGAGCCUGCGGCGGAUUAGCAGUUGGUAAGGUAACGGCUUACCAAGGCGACGAUCCGUAGCCGGCCUGAGAGGGGCGGUCGGCCACACUGACACUGACAUACGGGUCAGACUCCUACGGGAGGCAGCAGUC
rnacentral:rRNA from 1 species